rnacentral:rRNA from 1 species
GUCGUGGGUGUGCGGGGGGGGGGUGGAGUGGGUGGGGGGCGAGGGUGGGCCGGAAGGAUGGGGCGGAAAGGGCUGGUGGGCGGGCUGUCGCGUCGAAAGUGAAAACUCAGGGCGUAACCCUGAGCCUGCUUCCGAUACGGGCAUAGUAGAGGUAUGCAGGGGAGAACGGAAUUCCUGGUGUAGCGGUGAAAUGCGCAGAUAUCAGGAGGAACACCGGUGGCGAAGGCGGUUCUCUGGGCAUUACCUGACGCUGAGGAGCGAAAGUGUGGGGAGCGAACAGGAUUAGACACCCCUGUAGUC